rnacentral:rRNA from 1 species
UUACAACANCCGUUGUUNCCUGGAGACNANUAAUACUUGGAUAACUGUGGCAAUUCUAGAGCUAAUACACGCACUGAAGCCCCAUCCUUGCGGUAGGGGUGCAUUUAUUAGAACAAAACCAAUCGGGGCAACCCGUCUUUUGGUGAAUCUGAAUAACCCAGCUGAUCGCAUGGUCUUUGUACCGGCGACGCAUCUUUCAAGUGUCUGCCUUAUCAACUUUCGAUGGUAGUUUAUGUGACUACCAUGGUU